CUCUCCUCGACCUCGCCGCCGCCGCUCAGCGGUCGUUUUAUCGUUCCCCUCCCCUUCCUUCUGCCUCUCUUACCAGCAGUGGCGACAGCGCGGCACUGGCGGCCAGCCCUCCAGCGAUCUGGCCUUCUUCCUGCACGUAGGCACCGUCAUCACCGAUCGGGGCCUCCAGCCCGGCCGGCGACGGCAACGCGAUACUGGAGGUCGACGACGCCGGCAACGGCAACGUGAUACUGUGCAUUGUGUUACAACUGAGUGUCUCAACAACCUGAAUGCGAUGUGGACUGCACAUUCUUUGUUCUCGCUGUGGUGAAUUGAGGGCUCUGCUUUCUUGGGGUGGGAGACGAUAGCAGGGUUUUGUGCUCCUUCUCUUGAGCCUUUUUACUCCAUCUACCACGUCAAUGCUCACAACCUGCUCUUGCUUGGUGGUGAAUUCCAGGUCAGCAUGUUUGUUACCCUAUACAGUGCUCCGUUCCGAUUCUUAUUCUCUUUUUUUUCAAUCAAAGGGGAGCUCCCCCGGCUCCAUUUCAUAGAAACGAAACCACGACAAACCAUACAAAAUGUCUGGACUAAAACCAGGUUCAAUUUUCAUACAUACUUCCUCUGUUCUGAAUUAAUUGUUGCAGAAAUGGAUGUAUCUAGACGUAUUUUUAGUUCUAGAUACAUCCAUUUCUAUCAUUUUAGCGACAAGUAAUUCGGGACGGAGGGAGUAUUAGAUUUUCAUGCAACAGCUAAUAGUAUGGUUUGUCUGUGGCUGAAUCGAUCAUUCUCACCCACACAAUUGGUCGCCCUUUCUGCCUUCUGGCUCUGAUAUUGAUGUAUCGAGAGGAUGCCCAGUUUUCAGGUUGUGAUGCAUAAGCUACCUUUUAAUUGAAGUAACAAUGGAACAUUUUAUUGGCAUCCUUAUAAAAGACCCUCUCCAUAUCUUUUUUCUAGGGUCAUGAAUGAGCACACAUGCGGACAUCUAUUUUAUGCAAUGCAAUUGACGCUUUUGGUCAGCCAGCUGGAGGGUCGUGGUGUGCAAAGAAAACUCCAAGGAGAUCACAUCCACCUGCUUGUGGUUGCUUGCGGUUGUCUCUCUCAUCUGCUUUGUUAAGAUCCAGGUCCAGUCCUCUCUUCUCUGGUGCAUCAUCUCGUCAGGGCUCUGCAUCCUGCAAACGGGUAGCCGUGAGCUCUGCUCAAGUAACACCUAUUGCUCACUCCACAAUCUAAUAGUCAACAUUUUGCAAGCUUCUGAAGGUGAGGAAUGAACUGCCAGGGAAGAUGCAAGAAUAUAGCUCUUCUCUCUCAGCUCCCGCUCCUGGUUUUAUUUUACGUAAUACGAUUAGCAUUAGCAUGGCCGCAUGGGCGACCGGCAAAGUUUGGUAAGUAGGAGUAGCUCGUUAUAGUUUAUGCAGCCUCGUCAUGGCGCUCAAAGUGGAAAGCGUAUUGUGGUAUGGCUAAGUAAAGGUCCCAGUUCUAGUUUAGUCCUGUUUUAGCCUCCGCUCUGGCGCUCAAAGUGGACUGAAUGGUAUGGGUCAGGGAAAAGGUCCUUUCUUCAGUUUUAGUUUAAUUAGUCUUGUUUGCUUUGGUUAGUUUUUUGCCUGCUCUUUGCUUUGUGUACUCUGCUCCUUUUCAAGGGCUCUUGGCCGAACUUCUAUUACUAAGAAGACACAUUUACAUUCCUGCCCUUUGUUGCCGCCACUUCGACUGUUCUUUGUUAUGUGUCGGGUAUCUCAAGUUGAGUUGAUGAGUACUUGCCUGGCUCGCGUUGCACAAUCGCCCAUGGACGGCUUAUAGACUUGCCAACCGUAACUUGCAACAUCCCCCGGAGCGUUUGCUCUGCUGCCAAGAGGAGGAGUCUGCGAGCCAUCUUCUUCUUGGUUGCCCCUUUGCUCGUCAGGUCUGGUUCUCUGUGUUGUUGGCAUGGAGACUGCACAGCUUCACCCCGCGUGCUGAUGAUGAAAGUGAAACCAAGAACUGGUGGCCUCGGCUCAGCUCGGCGGUCACGGGGGAUCGGAGGAAAGAGCAGCUCAACUCCUUGGUUUGCCGCACCUUGAGGAUGAUAUGGCUGGAGAGGAACGACCGCGUCUUUGAAAAGAAUCGCGGCCGUGGAAUCGGUUGUUUUUUUUUGAAACGGAGGCAAAAAGUGGAAUCGGUUGUGAUACUCAGAACUAGGACUGAAUUUGCCCUUUGGUUGCUAGCUAGGACCAGUGGAUCGGCGGAUGCUCGCCAAAGGCGUUGCACGUUAUGUACAGAGCUGUACUGGAGUUUGUAUUGUUUUCUCCCCCUAUGUUAAUACAGAAGUUUGUAUUGUAUCCCAAGUUCA